UUUGAAACACUAGUUCUCGUAUGAUCACUGAAGUUAAGCAAAGUUGAACCUGGUCAGUACCUAGAUAGGCGACCGCUUGGGAAUACCAGGUGCUGUAA